rnacentral:rRNA from 1 species
GACGAACCGUGCGACCGUUGUUCGGAAUCACUGGGCUUAAAGGGCGCGUAGGCGGGCUGUCAAGUCUGGGGUGAAAUGCCGCGGCUCAACCGUGGAACUGCCUCAGAUACUGACGGCCUCGAGGAAGGUAGGGGCAUGCGGAACUGUAGGUGGAGCGGUGAAAUGCGUUGAUAUCUACAGGAACUCCGGUGGCGAAAGCGGCGUGCUGGACCUUUUCUGACGCUGAGGCGCGAAAGCUAGGGGAGCAAACGGG